CCUACGGGGGGCAGCAGUGGGGAAUAUUGCGCAAUGGGCGAAAGCCUGACGCAGCGACGCCGCGUGAGGGAUGAAGGUCUUCGGAUCGUAAAACUCUGUCAGCAGGGAAGAACGGUCACUGUGCUAAUCAGCAGUGAAUUGACGGUACCUGCAAAGGAAGCACCGGCUAACUCCGUGCCAGCAGCCGCGGUAAUACGGAGGGUGCGAGCGUUAAUCGGAAUUAUUGGGCGUAAAGCGCUCGUAGGCGGUAUGGCAAGUCAAGGGUGAAAUCCCCGCGCGCAACGUGGGAACGGCCUUGGAAACUGGGUAACUGGAGUGUGUGAGAGGAUAGUGGAAUUCCAGGUGUAGGGGUGAAAUCCGUAGAUAUCUGGAGGAACAUCAGUGGCGAAGGCGACUAUCUGGCACAUAACUGACGCUGAGGAGCGAAAGCGUGGGUAGCAAACAGGAUUAGAUACCCCAGUAGUC
rnacentral:rRNA from 1 species